rnacentral:antisense_RNA from 1 species
GCGGAGGGCGGGGCCGGCGCGUUGAGGCAGGAGCGAGCGCAGCCUCGGCGGUCAACGCGCUUUAUUCCGAGGGGCUUCAGAUACAGAUGGCCCCAGCCCUGCAUCCGCCCGGAAGGCGUCCCCUUACUCCCAUGGGGCACCUCGAUACCAGCCGCCCUGCCCUGACUCACUUCUCAGCACCCAUCUUACGGCAGUCGGCCCUGGCCUCAGACCCUUGGGUUCAGAUCCCAGGCCCUCCUCCUACUCACUGAAAAGAGAUGUCCAGGGCACAGCUUGGGGCCCCAGAAAGUAACCAUGGAGGUCAAGAUCACAAACCCGUCAGUGUCCAGGGCAUGGCCUGGCACACAUCCGAGGUUUUAAAGGACCAUGAAGUGCCAUGGAAAGCAUCCUGGCCUGAGGGUUAGGAGAGCUGGAUCUCAGGCUCAACUUUAGCCUGAAUUCGGUGCGUCAUCUUAGACAAAUCUGCUCAAGUCCUGUUCCUUGUUUAACCAGCAUUUAUUAAGUACUUGCAGUAUACCAGCCACUAUUUUGGACAUUAGUGAUAUGGAGUGUAAUAAAGGCUUAAUAAAGGCUAAUUGUGAUC